rnacentral:lncRNA from 1 species
UUCACACUUUAUCCAUACAACACAAAUUCCAUUACACCCUAAAAAUCAUACUGGAAAAAAACAUACACACAAAUUACAUAUGCCAAGUAAAAACCAGCUCCGGCGACUAGAGAAAUUCGCCGCCGGUAAUGAACACUGAACAGUGGCAAAGAAAGUGAAAGAAAAGAAACUUGGAAUAUAACAGCCAUAAUUUAAAAAAAAAAAAAAAUGAUUAAACUAAUCACUUCUUGCCUAAGAAGUCACCGGCCAACUUAAGAUAAUCUGGUCCUGAUCCUCCUUCAGAUGCUUUUGCCGAUUCACCAUCUCCUGGUUUCAGAAAUCCUUCUGCCAUUUUCACGUAUUGCCCAUACCCUUCUCCCUUUUCUUCCUCUGCCGGUGCCUGUGCCGGUGCCGGUGCAGGUGCCGGUGCCUUUGGUUCUUCGGUAUCUGUCCAAGAAUAUACAUACAAAUCUUAUUUUAAUCUUAAUAAUAAAAUUUUAUUACCACACAUAUUAUAAAUAUUUAAUAUCACAAAUUUUAAGUCAUCUGGCAGUAUAAAUGUUAUAGUAUAGUACUUAAUUAUAAUUUUUCAAAGUCUCUCAUCUAUUUUUUAAUCUUAAAUAAACUAUAUGACCAUUGAAACAGAUAGUACUUCCUCCGUCCUAAUUUAUAACAUUAUUUCCCUCCUAAUCGCUCCAAGAAAACACUUUUUUAUAUUGGUACUCUCUACGUCCUAGUUUAUGUGGGUACUAAUUUAUAUGGCAUUGUUCUAAUUUUGAGAGACAAAUAAAUUAUUCUUUCACAUCAUUUCUUAUAUGUCUUUAAAUAUAUUGAAUGUUAAUUGUUGUUAUUUAUAAUAAAUUUUAACGUAAAUUUUAAAUAUGUAAAUUUUAUUUUAAUAAGUUAAAAGAUUGGGUGUUUAGAUUCACGAUAAAAUUAAAAUAUUUAACACUCAAAAAGUGCCAUAUAAAUUGCCACUAGGGGUAACAAUUUAACUUCAAAAUGAUCCAUCUAUAUAAUUCACUAUCUAUGACUAAUUCUAGAUUUUUUUCAAAAAAUAUUUAGUUCUUUCUCAAACUUCGUGGCCAGUCAAAUACAUAUAUUGUGACUGAAAAAGCACUACUGUAAUUAACAUUAUCUUCACCUGCCGGUUCCGGUGGCUUUGUUUCUUCAGUAUCUGCUGCGGCCGGAGCCGGUGCCGGUGCCUUUGUUUCUUCGGUAUCUGGUGCGGCUGCCGGAGGCUUUGCAGCGGCGGCAUCGGUGGUGGUGGAGGGGUUAGCAGAACCGUACUGGUGGAGAUAAGUUUCAGCUUUUUCAACAUACUGUCCAACACCUUGAGUUUCAUCUAAUUUACCAUAUUUCUGUGCAGCGUCAAGAACAUCAGCAGCAGCUUCAGCCACCUUUUUGUUAUCGACCUUGCC